rnacentral:rRNA from 1 species
AAGGAUUUCAAAGGGGUUUAACUGGAGGAAGGUGGGGAUGACGUCAAAUCAUCAUGCCCCUUAUGACCUGGGCUACACACGUGCUACAAUGGACAGAACAAAGGGCAGCGAAACCGCGAGGUUAAGCCAAUCCCACAAAUCUGUUCUCAGUUCGGAUCGCAGUCUGCAACUCGACUGCGUGAAGCUGGAAUCGCUAGUAAUCGCGGAUCAGCAUGCCGCGGUGAAUACGUUCCCGGGCCUUGUACACACCGCCCGUCACACCACGAGAGUUUGUAACACCCGAAGUCGGUGAGGUAACCUUUUAGGAGCCAGCCGCCGAAGGUGGGACAGAUGAUUGGGGUGAAGUCGUAAACAA